rnacentral:rRNA from 1 species
GGCCUACCAUGCAAGUCGAGGGGUAGGGUUACUUCGGUAAUCUGAGACCGGCGCACGGGUGCGUAACGCGUAUGCAAUCUACCUUUUACUAUGGGAUAGCCCAGAGAAAUUUGGAUUAAUACCAUAUAGUAUAUUUGAAUGGCAUCGUUUGAAUAUUAAAGAUUUAUCGGUAAAAGAUGAGCAUGCGUCCCAUUAGUUAGUUGGUGUGGUAACGGCAUACCAAGACGAUGAUGGGUAGGGGUCCUGAGAGGGAGAUCCCCCACACUGGUACUGAGACACGGACCAGACUCCUACGGGAGGCAGCAGUGAGGAAUAUUGGUCAAUGGAGGCAACUCUGAACCAGCCAUGCCGCGUGCAGGAUGACGGUCCUAUGGAUUGUAAACUGCUUUUGUACGGGAAGAAAACAAACUACGAGUAGUUAAUUGACGGUACCGUAAGAAUAAGGAUCGGCUAACGCCGUGCCAGCAGCCGCGGUUAAUACGGAGGAUCCAAGCGUUAUCCGGAAUCAUUGGGUUUAAAGGGUCCCGUANGGCGGCCAUAUUAGUUCAGUGGUGAAAGUUUUUUGGCUUACCCAAAAAUUGCCAUUGAUACUGNAGGNCUUGAAUAUCUGUGAAGUACUUAGAAUAUGUAAGUGUAGCCGGGAAAUGCUUAAAUUUUUCCUUGGAAUACCGAUUGGGGAA